CUUGACUGAUUUGCAUGGACCCCUCCAAUCCAGCCCAGCUCCCAGGAGUUCAUAAACCAGGCCUUGAUAGUGAGAACUGAGAAGCUUUAGACAGGCAGGGGAAGAAAGAUGGAGUCACAGACACAGGUCCUCAUGUGCCUGCUCCUCUGGGUAUCUGGUGUAUGUGCAGAUAUCAUGAUGACCCAGUCUCCAUCCUUUCUGGCUGUGUCAGCAGGAGAGACAAUCUCACUCAGCUGCAAGUCCAGUCAAAGUCUUUUAUCUGGUAGCAUAAACCGCUUGAACUGGUUCCAGCAGAAACCAGGGCAGGCUCCUAAACUGCUGAUCUACCAUGCAUCCACUAGACACACUGGGGUCCCUGAUCGCUUCACAGGCAGCGGAUCUGGGACAGAUUUCACUCUCACCAUCAGCAGCUUCCAGGAUGAAGAUGUGGGAGAUUAUUUCUGUCAGCAGCAUUAUAUUGUUCCGCUCACAGUGUUUCAGUCUCUAACAAAAACCUCUUCUGAGAGUCUCACCAGCUGCUUGCACUACACAAAGCCCUGGAACUCACACUUCCUCCUUUUCCCUGAGAGGUGGAAAACUCUGAAACACUCAUGA